rnacentral:lncRNA from 1 species
UUAAAUGAAGGACAAACGUCUUGCCCAUCCUAAGUCUUAUGAUGCUGCAUUGCCUCUGGGCACCAAACCAGGGGGCUAUCCUGGGGUGCCUUGAGAAUCCUACAGGUGCCAGCAGGAAAUACUGAAGGGAGCUGUCCCCAGUUUCACCCAAGAGACAAACGCAGAACAAGGGUCUGAGGGGCUUGCUUAUCCAUCCAUCCAUCCAUCCACCCACCCACCCAUCCAUCCAUCAUCCAAUCCAUCAUCCAUCCAUCCAUCUUCUGGUUAGAAUUCAAAACUGAGAUGGUUGUCAUAGGAAUGAGCAUUAAGACGCUUAUUCGGAUUGAAAAGUGAAGUAAGACUAUGACUGGGAAGAUUGGUUUGCCAGUGGGAACUGGGUUUGCCAACGUAUGUGGUGGAUAUUGCCUACAGAUUGGAUGAAUUAAAUAUGCAGCUUCAAGAUCUUGACAAAAAAUGCACUCAGAGCCCACAGCAAGCAUCAUAAAAUAUGCUGGAAAUUAAACAUAUGCUGAAAAUUUUUUUGAUAUCAGCUCAUACAGUUUUUUUAAAAAAACGUAAGGGCAUCUGCAAGAGAACUGUAAGACAGUUGCUCUGGGGCUUCAGUGGGGAAGAGGCUGGGCUGGAGCCACUGAAGCAGGGCUGUUGAACCGAGUUGGCUGGGCUCCAAGUGCAAAAGCAAAAGCCGGGAAAGGGUAGGACACACAUGCGACAACUUGUUCCAGGAUGACGGCACCGGCAAAGACCUCGAAGUCGUACUCGUUGUGUCCGCUGGUGGGAUGGUAAUACGACCAGCCUCCAGUUCAGGACGGGAGCCAAUGGAAGAGCAGGGACAACUCUGGCCACUCUCUCACAUGAAAGGUUUUAUGUCUUUCUGGCUGUGGAGCAGAAGAAGAGGAGACCACACAGGUGACCGGGCAAUAAGGCACGUUGCAAAAAGCUUUGAAAGCCCCAGGAAAGAAGCUGGAUUCUAAGCCACACCAACAAAGAUGAAUGUAAUCCAAGUUCAUCUCUCAGCUUCUCUAAGCAGGGUACGUGGCUCUUCCGAGCUCCUGGGCGAUGCUGACACUGCCCCUUUAGGGGGUCUCCGACUGAGAAGCACUGCCCUACUGGGCGGCGUUCUCAUUAGGACCAUGUGGGAGAAAGGGCAGGGGUGCUGUGGACCCCCCCAACCCUGCAACCUGGGUCUCAGCAGAGGUAAGAGCCGCUCCAUCCCCAGGAGAAGGGGUUGAGGCAAAGCUGGCUCAGAUCAAAUUACAAAGCCCCCAUCUAGGAUUAAGGCUUCGCACUCAGACGUCAAGCGCCACAUUCGAGGGCAACGUAUUUCAAACUCCCAGGUAUUUGGGAGAGUCUCGGCAGUAACGCCGGGAGGUGAGCUGGGCC